rnacentral:rRNA from 1 species
GACGAACGCUGGCGGCGUGCCUAAUACAUGCAAGUUGAGCGCUGAAGGUUGGUACUUGUACCAACUGGAUGAGCAGCGAACGGGUGAGUAACGCGUGGGGAAUCUGCCUUUGAGCGGGGGACAACAUUUGGAAACGAAUGCUAAUACCGCAUAAAAACUUUAAACACAAGUUUUAAGUUUGAAAGAUGCAAUUGCAUCACUCAAAGAUGAUCCCGCGUUGUAUUAGCUAGUUGGUGAGGUAAAGGCUCACCAAGGCGAUGAUACAUAGCCGACCUGAGAGGGGUGUCCGCCACAAUGGGAAUGGGACCACGCCCCAGCUUCUACGGGAGGCCGCAGUAGGGGAUCUUCGGCCAAGGAGGGAAGUCUGGCCGGGCAACGCCGGGUGAGUGGAGAAGGGUUUCGGGUCGUAAAACUCUGUUGGUAGGGGAGAAAGUUGGUGGGAGUUGACAGCUCAUCAAGUGACGGUACCUACCCAGAAAGGGACGGCUAACUACGUG